GACGAACGCUGGCGGCGUGCUUAACACAUGCAAGUCGAACGGAAAGGCCCCCUUGUGGGGUACUCGAGUGGCGAACGGGUGAGUAACACGUGAGUAACCUACCCUUGACUUUGGGAUAACUUCAGGAAACUGGGGCUAAUACCGGAUAGGAGCUCCUGCUGCAUGGUGGGGGUUGGAAAGUUUCGGCGGUUGGGGAUGGACUCGCGGCUUAUCAGCUUGUUGGUGGGGUAGUGGCUCACCAAGGCUUUGACGGGUAGCCGGCCUGAGAGGGUGACCGGCCACAUUGGGACUGAGAUACGGCCCAGACUCCUACGGGAGGCAGCAGUGGGGAAUAUUGCACAAUGGGCGGAAGCCUGAUGCAGCAACGCCGCGUGCGGGAUGACGGCCUUCGGGUUGUAAACCGCUUUCGCCUGUGACGAAGCGUGAGUGACGGUAAUGGGUAAAGAAGCACCGGCUAACUACGG
rnacentral:rRNA from 1 species